GGGGCAAGGGGAAAAUAGGUUAGGGGAAGGGCGCUGUUAGGAGAUACAGAAGAGGAGGACUACAUGGACUAGCAAGCAGCAGAAAGCCUGUUGGCUCAUUACUAGGCUGCCUGCGUUCAGUGAUUUAAUCAAUCCGUUUGCCAUAGGAGUGGCUUGCAGGGAAGGAUUAAAGCACUUGUGUAUCUACUCUUGGGAACGUUCAGUUCACUCCUGAUGCAGCAAAGUGGCGAUCAAUGCGUUUCUUGAAGGAGUUGAUGGUCUCUGCGCUAACCACUUCUGCAGGAAGGCUGUUCCAGUGGCUAACAACUCUAUUCGAGAAAUAACUCCUGUCGAUGUCGGUAUUGCAUCGCUUUGCUUGAACUGUUUUUCCGUUGUUUCUUGUUCUCAGGUUAGUUUGUAGCGUGAAGAGCUUGGAGGAGGAGGAGGAGGAGAAGGAGAGCUGGUAGGAGUAAAGGCCAUCAAGUUAGGGGGACUGAUAUGGGCAUGUUAGGAGGAGGAGGGAGGGCCAUGUACUCAGAAGUGGAGGAAGAAGGAAGGAGAAGACCUAGAGACUGUGUGUGUAGGAAGACAUGAGGUUAACGAACACCAGGGAGGAGAGAGUAUACGAUUGUCAAGAGUGGGAGAGACUCAUAGCCCGGCCAACACCAUAAAGUAAAAUAAGGAAACUAAACGAAGAAGAAAAAGAAGACAAGGUAAAAAGAUAUUUGAGAGGGAUGGAGGACAAGGUUAGGGGAAGAGAGAAUAGCAGGUUAAGGAAGAAAGGAAUAUUAUUAGGCUUUCAAUAGCAGGUUAAGGAAGAAAGGAAUAUUAUUAGGCUUUCAAUAGCAGGUUAAGGAAGAAAGGAAUAUUAUUAGGCUUUCAAUAGCAGGUUAAGGAAGAAAGGAAUAUUAUUAGGCUUUCAAUAGCAGGUUAAGGAAGAAAGGAAUAUUAUUAGGCUUUCAAUAGCAGGUUAAGGAAGAAAGGAAUAUUAUUAGGCUUUCAAUAGCAGGUUAAGGAAGAAAGGAAUAUUAUUAGGCUUUCAAUAGCAGGUUAAGGAAGAAAGGAAUAUUAUUAGGCUUUCAAUAGCAGGUUAAGGAAGAAAGGAAUAUUAUUAGGCUUUCAAUAGCAGGUUAAGGAAGAAAGGAAUAUUAUUAGGCUUUCAAUAGCAGGUUAAGGAAGAAAGGAAUAUUAUUAGGCUUUCAAUAGCAGGUUAAGGAAGAAAGGAAUAUUAUUAGGCUUUCAAUAGCAGGUUAAGGAAGAAAGGAAUAUUAUUAGGCUUUCAA